UCAUUUUUUAAGUAUUGCGCGCAAACCCCAAAAUUUUAUUCCCACCUUUGGGUUUCCGCGCCGAAGACCCAGCGCCAGAUUCGGCGACAAAGAAAACUGACAGCAGUCGCCAAACAGUUGGCAAUCCUGAUAUUUGACGGCGGCCGCCCGGUAGUCAUGGGAGUGGAUUGUUGUCACGCAAAUAGAUCUUUUCGCUGAAAAUGCAUGUGUAUUGUGUUAUUGUUGACAGAUUUUCUGCAGUGUUAGUGUGAAAUUCAGCGGUUUUCUGUAUCGCGUAAGCCUUCGCUGGAAGAAAACGUCAUGUUGUUCAGCGAAGCAAGGAAAAUUUUCAGUGAAAAAAGCAAUAUUCCUAUUAGGUAAAGCACAUAAAAUAUAUUUUCAAAAAUUUUAAUAAUUUUUGCAACACUCCUUGUUUAGCACUAAAUUUUGGGUAAAUUUUGUUUGCCGUGUAUGUCAAACAGGAACAUUUAUUGUCAAAAGUGAGCCAAUGUGGUGUCUUUUGCAACCCGCCGUUUCACUUUCGUUACGUCAAGGUUGACCUCGAAUGUCAAACAAGACCUGCUCAUCAUUAUUUUAUUUUUGUGGUACCUUGUGGUAUGCACAUAAUAAAUUAUUGUGUUACUUCAUUACGUUUAGCGUGUAUGUUUACAUUGAGUAUCUGUCAUAUGUGGAGAUGUUGUUAUUGUUGUCUGGAGUGUGAAUCAUUUAUGUAAUAUUGAAGUAUCGGUAAUAAAGUGUAUACAAAUAAUGAAUACAGUUGUUGAAUAAUCAUUACAGAAAAAGAUUCUCACAUUGGCGACGAGAACGGUGAACAGUGCAUGUGAAAUUAGUUUAAUUUCGGUUCGGGAAGUGUUGUCUUUGGAAAAAGAAAGAGAUGAGUGGUGUGUGUGGUGCAUGCAGAGUGGUGAUGACCUUCAGGUGAUGACUUGUGAUUGAAUUUCAACAUUGGAAUCAAAAAGGUACAACCAUAAGUAACAGCCAAGUAAUUUACCAAAAUGCCGAGCAGAGAUGGAUGACCAAAUGGAUGACUGUACUACUAAUUCUUAUGUGAGACUGAAGCGAGACGUUCAUAAACUGAGGAGACUAUAAGCGAAAACAACGUGGAGUGACCUUGCUGCGGAUCUGGAGAAAAAACGAGAUGUGGUACCUUGUGGUAUGCACAUAAUAAAUUAUUGUGUUACUUCAUUACGUUUAGCGUGUAUGUUUACAUUGAGUAUCUGUCAUAUGUGGAGAUGUUGUUAUUGUUGUCUGGAGUGUGAAUCAUUUAUGUAAUAUUGAAGUAUCGGUAAUAAAGUGUAUACAAAUAAUGAA